rnacentral:rRNA from 1 species
CCUACGGGUGGCAGCAGUGAGGAAUAUUGGUCAAUGGGCGGAAGCCUGAACCAGCCAAGUAGCGUGCAGGAUGACGGCCCUACGGGUUGUAAACUGCUUUUAUACGGGAAUAACGCGCCUUACGUGUAGGGCUUUGCAUGUACCGUAUGAAUAAGGACCGGCUAAUUCCGUGCCAGCAGCCGCGGUAAUACGGAAGGUCCGGGCGUUAUCCGGAUUUUAUGGGUUUAAAGGGAGCGUAGGCCGCAUGUCAAGCGUGCGGUGAAAUGUCCGGGCUCAACCCGGGCCUUGCAGCGCGAACUGGCGUGCUUGAGUCCGCGGAAGGCAGGCGGAAUUCGUCGUGUAGCGGUGAAAUGCUUAGAUAUGACGAAGAACCCCGAUUGCGAAGGCAGCUUGCUGCAGCGGAACUGACGCUGAUGCUCGAAAGCGCGGGUAUCGAACAGGAUUAGAUACCCCUGUAGUC